AGACCUAUGAAGGUCGAAGGGGAAGAAAAGCUGUAUCGAUUGUUGAGAUCUGGCGACUUGUUUAAAUUUCAUCAGCCUCACUUCUAUGAACUCUCAGGACAAACUGCAACAGAGUCACAUCGAGUUGAGACUUCUCCAAGGGCCAUGGGGUUGACAUCUGUAUUCUCAGGCCUCACGUGUACCAGCUCUCUGCUCUCCUUUGCCUUGGGACGUUCCAUCCCUGGAAGUUUCCCUGCCCACAUCUUUGUAGAGAGUCCAUUCUCCAAGCUUCAGUGUGUCAUCUGUGAGGACCGUGACCCACCUGGUACAUCGCCUCAGGGCAUUCAUUUCAGGCUCCUUCUAAAUGGCCAAGAUCUUGCUUUCUUUUGUAUGUUUGCAAAGAAUAUAUAGUACACUUCCUUGAUCUGUGGUUCCUAAAGUGUGAUUCCCAACAAGCAGCAUCAGGAUCAUCUGGAAACUUGAUAGAAAUGUAAAUUCUACAGUCCCUCCUUGGAGCUACAGAUUCAGAAAUUCUGAAGUUUAAGUCCAGCAGUUGGUUAUAAUAAGCUCUCUAGGUGAUUCUGACUUGCACCAAGGUUGGUGGACCAAUGCCUUAGAUUAGUAAAAAGCACUGUCAUAGAGUAAGCACUGCCAAAUCCACAGAUAUUCAUUGAAUGGCUACCAGACAUAAGAUACUAUGUACACUGAUUAGAAAAGUAAAUACAUAAAGCAGAUCUCAUGA
rnacentral:lncRNA from 1 species